GUUUUGAGGAGGCACACACACAGUGCCGAGGUGCACACAGAGAAGGCCGAGAGUUUGGAUAUUGGUGCUCAGAUGAAUUAUUAAUUUUCAAUUUUCAGGUACCAAAGAUGAUAUUGGAUUGCUAGUUGCAGGCUUAGGUGGAAGAGUUGGUGUUGAGGAAUUAAUUUUAUUUAUUUAGAGAUUUUUGUGUAUUUAAUUGAGGAAAUUGAUUUGUAUCAAUAAAGUGAUAUUUUUUUUGA